UACGUAGGGUGCGAGCGUUGUCCGGAAUUAUUGGGCGUAAAGAGCUCGUAGGCGGUUUGUCGCGUCUGCUGUGAAAACCCGAGGCUCAACCUCGGGCCUGCAGUGGGUACGGGCAGACUAGAGUGGCGGUAGGGGAGAUUGGAAUUCCUGGUGUAGCGGUGGAAUGCGCAGAUAUCAGGAGGAACACCAAUGGCGAAGGCAGAUCUCUGGGCCGUAACUGACGCUGAGGAGCGAAAGCAUGGGGAGCGAACAGG
rnacentral:rRNA from 1 species